rnacentral:rRNA from 1 species
AUUGAACGCUGGCGGCAUGCUUUACACAUGCAAGUCGAACGGCAGCGCGGGGGCAACCUGGCGGCGAGUGGCGAACGGGUGAGUAAUACAUCGGAACGUACCCAGAAGUGGGGGGAUAACGUAGCGAAAGUUACGCUAAUACCGCAUACGACCUAAGGGUGAAAGUGGGAGACCUUCGGGCCUCAUGCUUUUGGAGCGGCCGAUGUCUGAUUAGCUAGUUGGUGAGGUAAAGGCUCACCAAGGCGACGAUCAGUAGCUGGUCUGAGAGGACGACCAGCCACACUGGGACUGAGACACGGCCCAGACUCCUACGGGAGGCAGCAGUGGGGAAUUUGGACAAUGGGGGCAACCCUGAUCCAGCAAUG